AGGGGAUUCAGUUAACUAGGAGUACUUAAGUGUUCUUCCCAAUUUCAAGAAAAGAAAGUGUUCUUCCCACUUUCGCUCUGCUCGGACGCGCGCCGCCAUGGACAGUUCCUUCCUGCUCUUCCCUCGCUUCCAAUCUCAUCGCGUUAAUCACAUUCCAAUUCCAUCGACACGAGAAAUCGGACUGCUCCAGAUCAUUUGGACUUCGAUCUCCCCAGCCUCCCCAUUUUUCCAGACACAGAGUUCCAGUUAUCUGGUUUCGAUGCGAAUUACCCAGCGCCAUCCCUUCCCCAGUUCUCCAGCCUCGUCAGAGUAGCCGAUGGAGAUAGAUCUGACCCGGGACGCCCGCGACGGCGACGCGGAGAGGGUCGCCGCCCCGCAGAGUAACCGUGCCGUCCGAGUGGAGGUCGUCGCCCAGGAGCGCAACGGCGCCGGUGGCAUGGUGGCCGCUGCCGAGGGAAGCGACGGCGCUGCCUUGGAGUCGGUCGGCGUUGGCGCCGAGGAGGGCGUCGCCCCGGAGAAGAACGGCGUCGGCUCCGGUGGCGAGAAGGAGGUCGCCUCGGAGGGGAGCGGCGCCGGCGCCGAGGUGGGCGCUGCCGUGGAGACGAACGGCGUCGCAGUUGACGUCUGGAUCUGCCACCAGUGCCGUCAGAGAAAAAUAGGGCCCACGGCAGCUUGCAGAGGGUCCAAGAAGAAUGGCAAGUGCGCUCUCAGAUAUUGCAAGAAUUGCAUACGUAACAGGUACCCUUUGAUUGCGGAUGAGGUGUUGAAGGAGGAAGCCUGGGAAUGCCCCAAGUGCAGGAAUGACUGCAACUGCAGCAAGUGCAAAAAGAGGAGAGGGGAGGAGCCAGCAGGGCCAAUGGUCCAUUCUGUCAAGAGACCGAAGGGCAACCUGCGGAGAAUUGAGAGCACCGAUGCUCUCAAGGAUGAAAUAGUCAUACCCAGAGGUACUCUUGUCAAGAGACCGAAGGGCAACCUGCGGAGAAUUGAGAGCACCGAUGCUCUAGGAUGAAAUAGUCAUACCCAGAGGUACUCUUGUCAAGAGACCGAAGGGCAACCUGCGGAGAAUUGAGAGCACCGAUGCUCUCAAGGAUGAAAUAGUCAUACCCAGAGGUACUCUUGUGACUUGCGUUGCUGGUGUAGAGAUGCAGCCUGAAGAUGUUGGUGCCGCCAUUCAAUUUUUGGAGUUUUGUCGCUCAUUUGGCGAGAUCUUCCAAAUAAGGAAGGGCCAAUCAGAAAAAAUUGUCAAAGACAUAACUGGAGAUCGUCAACUCCGAGAGGUGUCUUCAGUUGUUGCUGAGCUUCAUGCAAACCUGUUAUCUGUCAUAGAAAACGGCAAUUACAAGCCUUUGAAAUAUCCAAGACAUGGGGAUGCAUGGAUAAGAAAACUCAGGAAAUAUAUCACUGACUCGACAUUACACGCAAAAGAUUUCAUCCUUGAGUACUUAAGCCAUGGGCUAUCUGGAUAUAAAAAUUUGAGCCCUUCUCAUAAGCUGGAUGUGCUGAAUUCUCUGUGUGAUGAGGCAUUAUCAUCUGAAAAGUUGAAGACUAGGAUUGAAGCUAGAGAAUGUGUGGCCAGACAAAAGAUCCGUGCUGCAACCGAGAAGGAAAAGGAGCUAAAAGAAAGACAGAAUGACAUGGCUAAAACAAUGGGAGGAGAAAUCGCUGGCAAUGACGAAGCUAAUAAUAUCUUUUGUCAAAUAAAGGAGGCAAAAGAAGUCAAGCAGGCAGCCAUGAAUGAAUUAGAGGAACUGGGAUGUGUCCUUAGGUCCACGCCUGUCAUGGUAGACAAAGGAGUAGCAUACUGGAAGCUGGAUGGCUAUUGUAAUAACAAUACAAACAUAUUACGCCAAGAAUUUGACAACGAAGCUACAAUGAAGAACCAAGACAAGUGGUUCAUGUUCAGUGAAGAUGAACAGAAAGUAGUUGAAAAUCAUGUAACUACAAGGUCCCAGCGCCCAUGGAGAAAGGAUAACCGGGUGUAAUGAUUUACAGAUCCCAAUCUCCUGCUGUUUUAACUGCUUGAUGAUAUUCAUUUGUCCUUUCUAUGUGCCUUUCUUUUUAUGGCUUCUAGGAUACACCACAUUUCCUUUCAAGUGAAAUGGAAAUAAGUUAUUUUACAACCGCAUCGUCACUAUUUAUGUUCUAACAGCAAAGCAUAUAUAAACCACCAGUGUUGACUCUGCUGUGCUUAUCAACCUGAUGAGUGUUCACUUACAGUUACAGCUCAACUUCACCGGAAACAUACGUAAAAGAUAACAUCGGAGAUGUACAGAAGUUUGCACACGAAUCUCCAUUGCUUUUUCAAACCCCUUGCCAUGCUAUAGCAGGAAGAAGCUACUGCGUUGAACAGAAUAUCACCUGCGGUAGUAUUGCUGAUAUAGUCCCGAACAUAACUUUUAGCUAGUCUACAAAAGUAUUUAGGAUAAAACUAUAUUUUAUAUGCCACCGUAAAGCGAGUCAUCACAUGGAACUUCAUGGUUAAGUAUUUAUCCUAUUAGAGUUUUGUAAUGAUUGUUUCUCUUAAGUAUUAAGCUCAGAGUGGGAGCUGUGAAUUAUUUUCAUCUUCUUUUGAUGUUCUGUUUUGGCAGGUGAAUGGACUACCCCAGAUGACAGUUGCUACAGAACAACCAACAUUUCUCAAAGAUUGGGUCAUAGCAUUUGAAUACAAAUCUUGUGGCAUCUUUCUUCUCCCCUAUGGGAACACAGCAAGACUUUGUAGCACCUUCUGAUGUAUUUUUUGGGGAUGUUUUAAAAAUGAGAGAAAGCUAGAGCAUGCAGCUUUGCUGAAAUUUAUCGUUAGCAUUUGAAUGUCGUGCAGCCAAAUUUUCCUGCUGUAUCGUACUCCCUCUGUAAAGAAAUAUAAGUGUUUAGAUCACCAGGUGCUCUUGUAUUUCUUUACGGAGGGAGUAUUAUUGAUCAUUCUAUAGCAGAAAAGGAUUAUUUCCAGUCUCGAAC
rnacentral:rRNA from 1 species